AUGCAUCUCUUUGACUUCUCUCUCUUUCCUUUUAAUUUCCUGCUCGGCAAAGAGUUUCAUUGUCUGUUUAUAUCCAGCUUGUUUGAACAGCCCAGGAUCAUCCUCCUCUACAAUCGUAGGUUUUCCUUCCUUCUUUGUUUUUUUCGCUCUUUCACCUUCAAAAGCCUUUUGUGCUCUGUCAGCAUCAUCUUGAUUUUUGUCAGGAUGCACCAAUAUGGAUAACUGCCGAAACCUCUUUUUUAUUUCUUCAUCUGUAACUUCAGGAUCUAUCUGAAGACCCUCAAAUGGGUUCAAAUUGAAGUAAGAGGAACCAGGACGGGUCAGUCUUUCAAUCUGAUCUUUGAAUGUUAGAACCAAGUCUCUCUUCUCUAUUUGUUUCACCUCACUGUAGAAGGUCAUAAAUGCUUCCUCUGUGCUGCCUCCGCCGCCUGAAGUCCCGCUCUCUCCUGAAGCCGCCAUUUCCCCGGCUGUGACCAGGAACUUAACCAAUUCCUCUGGAUUUCCAGUUUUUUUUUUUUUGAGACGGAGUUUCGCUCUUGUUACCCAGGCUGGAGUGCAAUGGCGCAAUCUCGGCUCACCGCAACCUCCGCCCCCUGGGUUCAGGCAAUUCUCCUGCCUCAGCCUCCUGAGUAGCUGGGAUUACAGGCACGAGCCACCGUGCCCAGCUAAUUUUUUAUAAUUUUUAGUAGAGACGGGGUUUCACCAUGUUGACCAGGAUGGUCUCGAUCUCUUGACCUCAUGAUCCACCCGUCUCGGCCUCCCAAAGUGCUGGGAUUACAGGCUUGAGCCACCGCGCCCGGCCUGGAUUUCCAGUUUUUUAGUAUAUACAUGUUCAUAAUACUCUUUAAUGUGCUUUUGUAUUUCUGUGAUAUCCAUUGUACUCCUUUUUCCUUUUUAAUUUUAUUUAGGAGGUCUUUUCUCUUUUUUCAUUAGAUGAGCUAGUGUUUUUUGUUUAUAUUUAGAAAAUUUAUUUUCUUGAUCAUUUAUAUUCAUUUUUAGUUUCUAUUUUAUUUUGUACUGCCCUGAAAUUUGUUAUGUUUCCUACUACUAAUUUUGAGUUUAUUUGUUCUUUUAUAGCUCCUUGAGAUGUACAGUUAAAUUGUUUCUUUUAAAUCUUUCUCCUUGUAUAUAUAAUUUAUUGCUGUGAACUUCCCUUUAGUCUUGCAUUUGCUGUGUCCAAUAAGUUUUGAUAUUUUGUAUUUUGUUUCUAUUUUCAUUGUUUCAGAGAAUAUUUUGCUUUCCUUCUUAGUAUCGCCCUUGAUCCAAUAGUCAUUCAAAAACAUGUUUAGUUUUUAUGCAUUUGAUUGGUUUCCAAAGUUUCUCUUGGUAUUGAACUCUCUAACAUAUGGCAUAUUCUGGAAAAUGUCCCAUGUGCUAAGGAGAAGAAUGAGUAUUCUGAGCUCUUGGAAAAAAAAGUUCUGUAAAUAUCUCUUAGGUCUGUUUGGUCUAAUGUGGAGUUUAAAUCCAGUUUUUGUUUCUCAAUUUUCUGUUUAGAUGGUUUGUCUAAUGCUGAGACUGAAGUGCUGAAGUAUUCAAGCAUUACUAAAUUGGAGUCUCUCUUGAGAUCUAAUAAUAUUUGCCUUAUAUAUUUAGGUGCUCCAGUAUCAGGUGUAUAUACAUUUAGAACUGUUACAUCUUCUUGCUAAGUGGAUCCCUUUAUCAUUAAUUAUAUAAUGACAUUCUUUAUCGUUUUUUACUCUUUCGACUUAAAGUCUGUUUCAUAUGAUAUAUGUGUAGCUAUUUCUGCUUGUUCUUGUUUUCUAUUGCAUGAAAUAACUUUUUCCAUCCCUUUACUUUCAGUCUAUGUGUGUAUUUACAAGUGAGAUAGGUUUCUUGUAGCAAACAGAUAAUUGGGUCAUUAUUUCUUUAAUUUUUAUUCAUUUAUUUUUUUAUUUUGAGACAGAGUUCCGCUGUUGUGACCCAGACUGGAGUGCAAUGGCAGGAUCUCGGCUCACCGCAACCUCCGCCUCCUGGGUUCAAGCAAUUCUCCUGCCUCAGCCCCCCGAGUAGUUGGGACUACAUGUGCAUGCCACCAUGCCCAGCUAAUUUUUGUAUUUUUAGUAGAGACAGGGUUUCACCUUGUUGACCAGGAUGGUCUCGAUCUCUUGACCUCAUGAUCCACCCACCUCGGCCUCCCAAAGUGCUGUGAUUACAGGCUUGAGCCAUCACGCCCGGCCCAUUUUUUUUUUUAUCCAUUCAGCAUUUAAGUGGAAAUUUUAUUUCAUUUACAUUCAAGGUUGUUGUUGAUAUAUAAGAGCUUAUUACUUUCAUUUUAUUCAUUGAUUUCAGGUUGUCGUUUUGUAUGGCCUUUGUUCUUUUUCUCUCUUUUACUGUUCAUCAUUGUUGUUUGGUGGUUUUCUGUGGUGGGGACAUUUGAGCUCUUUCUCUUCCUUAUUUGUAUGUUUUCUCCACCAGUCAGUUUUAUACAUUUGUGUGCUGCCAUGGCAUUAGAUAGCAUCUUUUUCCUUAUAUGUUACAAUUCCUUUAAGCAUUUCUUGUACUAGUAGUCUAGUGAUAAAUUUACUCAGGUUUUAAAUGUCUAGGAAAUACUUUAUUUUUCCUCCAAUCAUAAAGAAUUACUUUGUUGGGUAUAGUAUUCUUAACCAGUUGCUUUAAAAUAUUAAUACUUGAAAUAUAUUAUUUUAUUCUUACCUGACCUGUGGCUUUUGCUGAGAAAUCUGCUGUUUAUUUGAUGGGAGUUUCUUUAUAAGUGAUUAGACACUUUUCCUGCUUUUAGAAUUAUCUGUCAUUGAUUUUUGACAGUUUGAUUAUAAAGUGCUGUGGAGUAGACAUUGUUGAAUUUUAUCUAUUUUUAGAUAUCUGUGCUUUCUGUAUCUGGAUGUCUAAAUCUCAUGGUAGAUUUGUGAAGUUUUAUGCUAUUAUUUUUGUAAUACAGGUUUUCUAACCAUCAAAUUUUUUCUUUGCUUCUGAGAUACAUGAAUAUUUGUUUACUUUAUAAUGUCCCAUACAUAACGUAGGAUUUGGUUUGUUUUUUUCUUAAUUUUUUCUUGACUGAGCAAUUUCAAAAGACCAGUUCUGAAGAUCUGUGAUUAUUUCUUAUGGCUUGUCUAGUCUAUUGUUGAUGUUUUCAAGUGUAUUUUUAAUUUCUUCCAAUGAAUUCUUUAGCUUCAAAAUUUCUUUUUUAGGUUUUUUAUGAUAUCUCUGACAAAUUUCUCAUUCACAUCCUGAAUUAUUUUUCUGAUUUAUUCGCAGUAUUUAUGUUUUACUCUGUAUCUUACUGAGCAUUUAUAUUUUACUCUGUAUUUUAAUGAGCACUUUAUGAAUCAUUACUUUGAAUUCUUUUAGGCAUUUCACACACUAUAUUUAUUUUUUCUGAAUCUCCCUUAUUUAUCUUAAUAAAUAUUUAUCUUUUUUUCUUUUUUUUUUAAAC
rnacentral:lncRNA from 13 species